rnacentral:hammerhead_ribozyme from 1 species
AUCCGGCUGACGAUCCCAAAAUAGGACGAAAUACGUGUCCUAGAU